rnacentral:piRNA from 1 species
UCAAAUCUGAUUUGUUCUUGUAAGUUGGC